rnacentral:rRNA from 1 species
CAAUUGGAAUGAGAACAAUUUAAAUCCCUUAUCGAGUUUCAAUUGGAGGGCAAGUCUGGUGCCAGCAGCCGCGGUAAUCCCAGCUCCAAUAGCGUAUAUUAAAGUUGUUGCAGUUAAAAAGCUCGUAGUUGAAGCUCUGCGGGGCGGGUCGCUGGGCCUCGGUCUGGUGACCUUCCUCGCAUCCAUCUGAGCAACGGCUCCGGCAUUAACUUGUCGCUGUCGUGAUCAGGUACUUUACCUUGAGCAAAUGAGAGUGUUCCAGGCAGGCUUGGGCCUGAAUCGUCCAGCAUGGAAUAAUAGAAGAGGACUGGGCUCCAUUUAUUGGUGUUAUGGCGCUUAGUAAUGAUUAAUAGGGAUAGUUGGGGGCAUUUGUAUUUAAUUGUCAGAGGUGAAAUUCUAUGAUUUAUUAAAGACAAACUUAUGCGAAAGCAUUUGCCAAGGAUGAUUUC